AACAUGGAUUGUUAUGCGACUGUUAAUAUACGAAGGUUAAGAUAACAGUAGAGAACUCACGAUGUCGAUUAAAGUGUUAGUGCUUCUGAUUGCCUUGAUUAGUCUUUACGCAAGCUCUUGCUCAGCGAUAAAAUGCUACACGUGCCUCAGUCUCACAGAAAAAAGCUGUUUAGAUGAUGUUUAGGUGUUUGACAAAGGUAAACAUAACGUAACUGACGGCUGCGCCCAAUGUGGGAAGCAAAAAGGAACUGUCAACAAUAAUGUCGUGGUACGUGCUUGCCUUCCACAUGUUGUCGGCGGUAACGAGUGCACAAAGAUAAAACAGGAUAGCGCGGAAGGACUUAACUGUUUCUGCAGUACAGAUGGAUGCAAUGCGGCCUCUUCCAUGUACGUCACAAUAGCAACCAUGUUAGCGCCACUUUUGAUGUUUGCUCAUUUUUAUAGAUGGUAAAAUCCAUUGAGUGGCAACGGAGACAAACUGUUAAUAAUGUGGACAUUUAGUGACACUAUUGGCCACGGGACAUCGAUCAAAACAAAUCAUGCUAUGACAUCAUCAUGACACGUGAUGGAUAAAUCUUUUUGUGUUGCGAAUGAUUGCAAUUAUCGUGAUUCUUCAUGUGUGUCCAUUGAUUACUAUUAAUAUCUAUUUAUAUUUUAAACACAAGAUGAUAAAGUGAGAUUCAUUUUACAUUUCAAAUAAAAUACAUACUCUGUAAUAUAAUAAUCGGUCAAGGUGAUAUUCUGUAAAAUGUUAAUUAAAACAAGCUAUUCUCUGUAAUAUAGUUAUCAAAGCGAGUGUUACUCUGUAAUAUAUCAACCGACCUAAGUGAUAUUAUUUGAUAUAUUGCUCAACGCAAGACUAGUGAUACAAUCUUAUACAUUAAUUAACCAGAUACAUACUCUGUAAUAUAUUAACCAAACCAAGUGGUACUCCGUAAUAUAGUAAUAUUCACAAGCUAUACUAUGUGAAAUAGCAAUCAACGCAAGUGUUACUCUGUAAUAUAUUAAUCAACCUUAGUGAUACUCUGUAAUUCAUUACUUAACCCAAGUGAUAUUCUGUUAUUCAUUAAUAAAUCCAAGUGAUAUU